rnacentral:rRNA from 1 species
GACGAACGCUGGCGGCGUGCUUAACACAUGCAAGUCGAACGGAAAGGCCCUGCUUUUGUGGGGUGCUCGAGUGGCGAACGGGUGAGUAACACGUGAGUAACCUGCUCUUGACUUUGGGAUAACUUCAGGAAACUGGGGCUAAUACCGGAUAGGAGCUCCUGCUGCAUGGUGGGGGGUGGAAAGUUUCGGCGGUUGGGGAUGGACUCGCGGCUUAUCAGCUUGUUGGUGGGGUAGUGGCUUACCAAGGCUUUGACGGGUAGACGGCCUGGGAGGGUGACCGGCCACAUUGGGACUGAGGUACGGCCCAGACUCCUACAGGAGGCAGCGGUGGGGAAUAUUGCACAAUGGGCGGAAGCCUGAUGCAGCAACGCCGCGUGCGGGAUGACGGCCUUCGGGUUGUAAACCGCUUUCGCCUGUGACGAAGCGUGAGUGACGGUAAUGGGUAAAGAAGCACCGGCUAACUACGUG